rnacentral:SRP_RNA from 1 species
GCCGGGCAUGGUGGCUCAUGCCUGUAAUCCCAGCACUUUGGGAGGCUGAGGCGGGUGGAUCACCUGAGGUCAGGAGUUGGAGACCAGCCUGGCCAACAUGGUGAAACCCCAUCUCUA